rnacentral:tRNA from 1 species
GAAGAUGUAGUUUAGGGGUAGAGCACUUGCUUAGAAAGCAGGAGGCCCUGUGUUCAAUCCCCAGCACCUCA